rnacentral:rRNA from 1 species
GUCUACGGACAUACCACGCUGAACGUGCCCUAUCUAGUCUGAUCUCGGAAGCUAAGCAGGGUCGGGCCUGGCUAGUACUUGGAUGGGAGACAAAAUAAUCUACUGCUAAUAGAAU